AGAGUUUGAUCCUGGCUCAGGAUGAACGCUGGCGGCGUGCCUAAUACAUGCAAGUCGAGCGGAAGGCCACUUCGGUGGUACACGAGCGGCGGACGGCUGAGUAACACGUAGGAACAUACCCCAAAGUGAGGGAUAAGCACCAGAAAUGGUGUCUAAUACCGCAUGUGAUCUUCGGAUUAAAGCUUCGGCGCUUUGGGAAUGGCCUGCGCAUGAUUAGCUUGUUGGUGAGGUAAAAGCUCACCAAGGCGACGAUCAUUAGCUGGUCUGAGAGGAUGACCAGCCAGACUGGAACUGAGAACGGUCCAGACUCCUACGGGAGGCAGCAGUAGGGAAUUUUCCACAAUGGGCGCAAGCCUGAUGGAGCAACGCCGCGUGCAGGAUGAAGGCUCUAGGGUCGUAAACUGCUUUUAUAUGUGACGAUUUUGACGGUAGCAUAUGAAUAAGGAUCGGCUAACUCCGUGCCAGCAGCCGCGGUCAUACGGAGGAUCCAAGCGUUAUCCGGAAUUACUGGGCGUAAAGAGUUGCGUAGGUGGCGUUGUAAGUUGAUAGUGAAAGCGUGGGGCUCAACCCCAUAAACAUUAUCAAAACUACAAAGCUAGAGGAUGAGAGAGGUUAUUGGAAUUCCUAGUGUAGGAGUGAAAUCCGUAGAUAUUAGGAGGAACACCGAUGGCGUAGGCAGAUAACUGGCUCAUUCCUGACACUAAGGCACGAAAGCGUGGGUAGCAAACGGGAUUAGAUACCCUAGUAGUCC
rnacentral:rRNA from 1 species